rnacentral:rRNA from 1 species
UUAUGCUCAGUACAGUUUUAUAGUAUAAAGAUUUAAAUAAAAAUUCGCUUAUUUUCUGAAAUUUAAUACAUAUAGCCACAUUUAAUAUGAUAAAAGUUGUAAAUCACUUUAUUAACCAAAUAUAGUGCCAGCAGUUGCGGUUAGACUAUAAAUAAAAUUAUACAUCCAUUCUCUUAUUUAAAUUAUUUUUUUUAAAAAGUCAAAUAUUAAGUGAAAUUUUAUUUUUCAUUUAAAUAAACAAUUUAAUAUAGAAAAAAUUAAAAAUUUAAAUUAGGAUUAGAUACCCUAUUAUAUUUUAACAAUUUAGGUAGUACUUAUCUAUUAAGAAAACCUAUGUAGUUUGGCGGCAUUUUAUCUUAUUAGAGGAACCUGUUUUUUAAUCGAUAUCCCACGAUAGUUUUCACUUCUAUUUAUAUCUUAUAUACCUCCAUCUUAAGGAAUAAUAUUUAUAUUCUCCCCAAAAUAGUUAUCUAGUAAGUUAGGUAAAGGUGUAGACUAUAAAGAAGAUAAAAUGGGUUACAAUAAAUAAUAUUUAAGGAUAGAUAAUUAAAAUUUUAUUGAAAAAGGAUUUAUUAGUAUUUGAAGAAUAAUAAUCUUCCUUGAAAUUGAUAAACAAUGUGUACAUAUCGCCCGUCACCCUUAUCUAAAGGUAAGGUAAGUCGUAACAUAGUUGAUGUUUUGGAAAAAGCAUCAAG